GUGCUCGCUUUGGCAGAACAUAUACUAAAAUUGGAACUAUACAGAGAAGAUUAGCAUGGCCCUUGUAGAAGGAUGAUACACAAAAUCGUGAAGCGUUCCAUAUUUUU